rnacentral:rRNA from 1 species
UGGGGAAUAUUGCACAAUGGGGGAAACCCUGAUGCAGCGACGCCGCAUGAACGAAGAAGGUAUUCGUAUCGUAAAGUUCUGUCCUAUGGGAAGAUAAUGACAGUACCAUAGAAGAAAGCUCCGGCUAAAUACGUGCCAGCAGCCGCGGUAAUACGUAUGGAGCGAGCGUUGUCCGGAAUUAUUGGGCGUAAAGGGUACGCAGGCGGUUUAAUAAGUCGAAUGUUAAAGAUCGGGGCUCAACCCCGCAAAGCAUUGGAAACUGAUAAACUUGAGUAGUGGAGAGGAAAGUGGAAUUCCUAGUGUAGUGGUGAAAUACGUAGAUAUUAGGAGGAAUACCAGUAGCGAAGGCGACUUUCUGGACACAAACUGACGCUGAGGUACGAAAGCGUGGGGAGCAAACAGG